rnacentral:rRNA from 1 species
UUAUGCUGAUAAGAGCGUAUGGUGGAUGCCUUGGCACUAAGAGCCGAUGAAAGACGUGAUAAGCUGCGAAAAGCUUCGGGGAGGAGCAAAUAUCCUUUGAUCCGGAGAUCUCUGAAUGGGGAAACCUACUUGAGCAAACCUCAAGUAUCCUUAAGCCAAUACAUAACUUAAGGAAGGGAACCCGGUGAACUGAAACAUCUAAGUAGCCGGAGGAAGAGAAAACAACAUGUGAUUCUGUGAGUAGCGGCGAGCGAAAACGGAAGAGCCCAAACCAGCGUGCGUGCAUGCUGGGGUUCGGACCGCGGAAUUGAUUCAACGAGUUUAGCAGAACGGUUUUGGGAAAGCCGGCCAGAGAGGGUGAAAGCCCCGUAAGCGAAAGACGAGUUGACAUGGCGGGAUCCAGAGUACCACGAGACACGUGGAACCUUGUGGGAAGAUGCGGGGACCACCCCGUAAGGCUAAAUACUACUUAGUGACCGAUAGCGCAUAGUACUGUGAAGGAAAGGUGAAAAGGACCCCGGGAGGGGAGUGAAAAAGAACCUGAAACCAUAUGUUUACAAGCUGUGGAAGAGCUUUAUAUGCUCAACCGCGUACUUUUUGUAGAACGGUCCGGCGAGUUACGCUGGCUGGCGAGGUUAAGGACUAAAGGUCCGGAGCCGAAGGGAAACCAAGUCUGAAUAGGGCGCAUAGUCAGUCGGAGUAGACCCGAAACCGGGUGAUCUAUCCAUGUCCAGGUUGAAGUUGCCGUAAAAGGCAAUGGAGGACCGAACCCACAUCCGUUGAAAAGGGUGGGGAUGAGGUGUGGAUAGGGGAGAAAUUCCAAUCGAACCCGGAGAUAGCUGGUUCUCCUCGAAAUAGCUUUAGGGCUAGCCUCAUACGAGUCUUGCGGAGGUAGAGCACUGAAUUCCUAAGGGGGCGUCAAAGCUUACUAAGGGAUAUCAAACUCCGAAUGCCGUGUAGAUGAUGUAUGGGAGUCAGACGAUCCGAGAUAAGUUGGGUGGUCAAAAGGGAAAGAGCCCAGACCAACAGCUAAGGCCCCAAAAUGUGUGUUAAGUGGAAAAGGAUGUGGGAUUUCGAAGACAACUAGGAUGUUGGCUCAGAAGCAGCCAUUCAUUCAAAGAGUGCGUAAUAGCUCACUAGUCGAGAGGUCCUGCGCCGAAAAUGUCCGGGGCUAAAACACACUGCCGAAGCUUUGGAAUUGAGAAUUCAAUUGGUAGAGGAGCAUUCUUAAAGGGACGAAGCAGUACCGAAAGGAGCUGUGGACUUUUAAGAAGAGAGAAUGCCGGAAUGAGUAGCGAGAGGAAGGUGGGAAUCCUUCCGGCCGAAUAUCUAAGGUUUCCAGAGUAAAGCUGAUCUGCUCUGGGUAAGUCGGGGCCUAAGGCGAGGUCGAAAGACGUAGUCGAUGGAUAACAGGUUGAAAUUCCUGUACUAUCCUGUAACAGAACUGUGGGGACACAGGCAGAGAGCGUGAGCCGGGAAUGGAAAGACCGGUACAAGCGAGGUAGGAGUUCAGUUGGCAAAUCCGCUGAACAAUCUGAAGACGUGAUGUGGACUGAAAAUAAGUAGGGAAGCACGUGAGCUGACUGUCAAGAAAAGCCGCUAUUGUUUGCAGGAUACCCGUACCGUAAACCGACACAGGUGGAUGAGGAGAGAAUCCUAAGGCCGACGGGAGAAGCAUUGUUAAGGAACUCGGCAAAAUGACUCCGUAACUUCGGGAGAAGGAGUGCCAGUAAGAUGGCCGCAGAGAAUUGGCCCAAGCAACUGUUUAGCAAAAACACAGGUCUAUGCAAAACCGAAAGGUGAGGUAUAUGGGCUGACGCCUGCCCGGUGCUGGAAGGUUAAGGGGAGAGGUUAGCGCAAGCGAAGCUUUGAACUUAAGCCCCAGUAAACGGCGGCCGUAACUAUAACGGUCCUAAGGUAGCGAAAUUCCUUGUCGGGUAAGUUCCGACCCGCACGAAAGGCGUAAUGAUUUGGGCACUGUCUCAACAAUGCACCCGGUGAAAUUGAAAUACCAGUGAAGAUGCUGGUUACCUGCGCCAGGACGGAAAGACCCCAUGGAGCUUUACUCCAGCUUGAUACUGGGAUUCGGUAUUGCAUGUACAGGAUAGGUGGGAGGCUAGGAAAUGGUAACGCCAGUUGCCAUGGAGCC